GAGCGCAGCACGGAGGACCCUGGCCUGCCGACCUGGUCGGAUCAAGGUCCGGAAGGCCACAUUGGCCGCAUGCGCAGUGAAAGGAGCCGGAACCUGUGAGGGCCGCGCCCUGCUCCCCCCUCGGUCCGCAGGGCCUUGUGCUCCGGUGUGACGGGUGAGUAACGCGGGCAGGCCGCCGGGAGCACGGCAGUUCUGGGACUGAAGUGGCUUAAUUUGGGGGGAGACCACGUGAUGGAGUCAGCCAGACCUUGAAUAGGCCUGUGACAGCUAGCUGCUCGGUGAUCUUGGGCAGGUGCCUUCCGUGCCUUCAUCUAAAUUAUCUGGCUGCACAGCACAUGUUAAGGAAGUCACCUUGGUGGGUAUAAAGACAAGGUUUUCCGGAGGACGGGCUUUAGUCAUUCAGAUACUAUUUUGAAUCCUAGGUUUUUCAGUUUUUCCAUUGAUAGACAACUUUUGGUAAGUAACUUAGUCUAAGUCUUAUAAAAAAUGGGGAUGAUAAAAUUGUCCAGUGAAGAUAAACGAGACACAAGACUGGCAUAUAGUAAAACAAAGUGGUGAUUGGGACCUAUAUGAUGUUUGUUCUCUUUUUUUAGUCUCCAGAAUGAAUUGGUGAUAAGUCCUGAUGUACAGGAUUUAGCUGUGCCAGAUUGAAGAUUCCAGGAUGACUGAAGUUGACCUUUCUGGUGAGUGAAGACUGGGGUCAUGACAGUGAUGGAACACAGCAGCCUCAGGACCUGGUUGCCCCCACGUUUUACUGGCAGUGCCUGAUACUGAAGUAUCUGAAAAGACCAGCUUGUUGCUGGAGCCAUGCUUUAGAAUAAGAUCUGUUACCAGUAAAGCUGCCGCCUUCUGCGAUUGUGGAUCUACAGAGUUGGGAGAGAAACACUACAGGAAGAGGCAAAUGAAGAGACAAGGGGCUCUUUGAGGUGGAAACACCUUUUUUUCUUUCUGAUGCUGGUACCUGGCAUACAAGUGACCAAUAAAAGAUUCCUGGAUGUA